AUUGAACGCUGGCGGCAGGCCUAACACAUGCAAGUCGAGCGGAUGAAGAGAGCUUGCUCUCUGAUUUAGCGGCGGACGGGUGAGUAAUGCCUAGGAAUCUGCCUGGUAGUGGGGGAUAACGCUCCGAAAGGAACGCUAAUACCGCAUACGUCCUACGGGAGAAAGCAGGGGACCUUCGGGCCUUGCGCUAUCAGAUGAUCCUAGGUCGGAUUAGCUAGUUGGUGAGGUAAUGGCUCACCAAGGCUACGAUCCGUAACUGGUCUGAGAGGAUGAUCAGUCACACUGGAACUGAGACACGGUCCAGACUCCUACGGGAGGCAGCAGUGGGGAAUAUUGGACAAUGGGCGAAAGCCUGAUCCAGCCAUGCCGCGUGUGUGAAGAAGGUCUUCGGAUUGUAAAGCACUUUAAGUUGGGAGGAAGGGCAGUAAGUUAAUACCUUGCUGUUUUGACGUUACCGACAGAAUAAGCACCGGCUAACUUCGUGCCAGCCGCCGCCGUAAAAC
rnacentral:rRNA from 1 species